rnacentral:lncRNA from 1 species
UUUUUUCCUUCUGCCAGGAGACCGGGAGCCUCCCAGACGCGGGCUGCUCUGUCAGUUGGGGGCCUGUAGCAAAGAGAAUCUGGAGAAUGCCACAGCACAUCUGUGAUGAACACAAAAGAUGAUUGUCACUGUAAACCACUGGGCUUCAUGCAGAUUACCUACAUCAGAGUGAGAGGCAGCUGGAAGAAGUGCAAUGCAUUGAGAAACCUCUAGAAAGAGACACCAGUGCUGGAACAGGACGAACCUCAAGUGCAGGGUUUCCUCCCAACAGUGAAGAGAACUCAGCAGUGAGCCUCUGUGGAGAAGGGGGCAUUUAAGCUGGGCCCCAGACUCAGCAGAGGGAAUUCUGGAGCAAAAGUGCCAAGGAGGGUGCAAGCUUGGCUCUGCAGGAACUGGGGCCAUGUGACAGCAGUCUUUCUCCAAUAGGAUGCCCAUAGCCACUAUCCAGCCUGAGGCAUUCAACAAACACUGAGCACAAGCAAGACAGAAGAGCUCUCAGCUCCUCCACAUUCAAUACAACAAGUCAAAUGUGAGCGUGGGU